UACGAAGGGGGCUAGCGUUGCUCGGAAUCACUGGGCGUAAAGGGUGCGUAGGCGGGUCUUUAAGUCAGGGGUGAAAUCCUGGAGCUCAACUCCAGAACUGCCUUUGAUACUGAAGAUCUUGAGUUCGGGAGAGGUGAGUGGAACUGCGAGUGUAGAGGUGAAAUUCGUAGAUAUCUGGAGGAAUACCGGUGGCGAAGGCGG
rnacentral:rRNA from 1 species